rnacentral:rRNA from 1 species
UACGUAGGAUCCGAGCGUUGUCCGGAUUUACUGGGUGUAAAGGGUGCGCAGGCGGACUGGUAAGUCAGUGGUGAAAUCUCGUCGCUUAACGACGAAACUGCCUUUGAUACUAUCAGUCUUGAAUCCGGUAGAGAUCUGUGGAAUUCCGAGUGUAGCAGUGAAAUGUGUAGAUAUUCGGAAGAACACCAGUGGCGAAGGCAGCAGAUUGGGCCGGUAUUGACGCUCAGGCACGAAAGCAUGGGGAUCAAACGGG